UCCAACACAGAAGAUGUGUUAUUUAUUAAUUAAAACUUACUUUUUUGCUAACUAAAUAUAUAUGUUUUUUCUAGGUGAAUGAAUUUGGCGUCAACAAUGUGCAAGAUGGCCAAAUGGACUUAAUAUAGUUAUUGUUAUAGAAGAGACCAAACUCGAAUAUAUUAGAGGCUCGUGUGUCAAAUAAAAAUAACUGGAGCCAUUCGUAAGCACUACAGGUCGAAUGCAUUCUUGGAAGACUUUUAUGAUAUACUGAAACUACUGAUUUCCAUAUUUAAUGAACAAGGACUUGAACUAUAGAUCAGCAGCUUGCCUAAUGUAGAUAUCGAGGAUCUUAAAGCAAAUAUUGAGCAUCAUAAAUACACUGCUACGUCUUUAUAGAUUCAAUAGUUCUGGCGUGCAUUACGAGGUUUUGAUCAAGCGGAUCAUGCGAAGUUCUUACAAUUCGUUCCUGGUACGUUCAAAGUGCCGUUACAAGGUUUCGCUGCGUUGGAAGGCACGGACGGUGUACAAAAGUUCCAAAUUCACAGAGAAGAUAGGUCAACAGACAGGCUUCCAUCUGCACAUACUUGUUUCAGUCAACUGGAUCUGCCAGUGUAUGGGGCGUAUGAUAAACUCCAUACAAAUCUACUCGAGGCGAUUCAUGAAUGCAGCGAAGGAUUUGGAUUUGCAUAAGCUUGUUGGAGCGCUAUUGUGUAGCAGUUUUUCAUACAUGUGUUGUCCAGCCUAUUCGAAGUAAACAGUUACAAGAAUGUCAUUCAAUCGAUGACAUUCUAAUGACACGCUUGGUCUUCGUUCAAGAUCCAUUGAAAAAUUUGUUUAACUUGAUAUAUACACGGAAAAAACAAACAUGAUUGAAUUAACAAGCUAUAUUUAGUUAUACAAAUUUUGGUAGGUGUUUCAUUGAAAGCUUAUACGGUUUAUACAAACAAAGUGAUGCAUAAAAAAUGAAUAAGAAGACGUCGGACUUAUUUCGUGAAUGGGGAUUUAAAGAAUAUAUUGAAAUCUUCAAAGGUUCGUUUAGUUUAAUAUAUUUACGAAAAUUCGGUUUCUGAUGCAUGCUAUUCAUUUAGUAUGUUGUAUGUUAAUGGUUGUGUUGUGAUAUAAUUUACAUUAUGUAUAUUCCUAGAUAGCACGAUAUCUUUGACAGAUUUGUGUUUUUGGGGUUAUGUAACCUUAAAAAUCAUUAUUAUAGACAUAUGAAAUUUUCGUACUCGUAGUAUACAUCCAAACACAGCCCAUGUCUUACACAGCCAUGUACUAAAAGCGUGUUCCACUUAAAGCUCGCAACGCUUCCAAGCACUAUUUGUCUGUUUAAGAUUUGAUAAACUACAAGGAUGAAAUGAUACGUUGCGAAUGUUAAGUGGAAUACGCCCUAAGCAAUCUAGUUUUGCAU